rnacentral:tRNA from 1 species
GAGAGUAUAGCUCAGUGGUAGAACACAUGCUUAGCAUGCCCAAGGUCCUGGGUUCAAUCCCCAGUACCUCCA